UUAACGCGAAGAACCUUACCUGGCCUUGACAUCCUGCGAACUUUCUAGAGAUAGAUUGGUGCCUUCGGGGACGUAGUGACAGGUGCUGCAUGGCCGUCGUCAGCUCGUGUCGUGAGAUGUUGGGUUAAGUCCCGUAACGAGCGCAACCCCUAUCCCUAGUUGCUAGCAGUUCGGCUGAGAACUCUAGGGAGACUGCCGGUGACAACCCGGAGGAAGGUGGGGAUGACGUCAGGUCAUCAUGGCCCUUACGGCCAGGGCUACACACGUGCUACAAUGGCGCGCACAGAGGGCUGCAAACUCGCGAGGGUAAGCCAAUCUCUUAAAACGCGUCGUAGUCCGGAUCGCAGUCUGCAACUCGACUGCGUGAAGUCGGAAUCGCUAGUAAUCGCGAAUCAGAAUG
rnacentral:rRNA from 1 species